rnacentral:rRNA from 1 species
UACGUAGGUGGCAAGCGUUGUCCGGAUUUACUGGGUGUAAAGGGAGCGCAGGCGGGACAGCAAGUCAGCGGUGAAAUGUAUGGGCUCAACCCAUGAACUGCCGUUGAAACUGUUGUUCUUGAGUGAAGUAGAGGCAAGCGGAAUUCCGAGUGUAGCGGUGAAUGCGUAGAUAUUCGGAGGAACACCGGUGGCGAAGGCGGCUUGCUGGGCUUUUACUGACGCUGAGGCUCGAAAGUGUGGGGAGCAAACA